rnacentral:piRNA from 1 species
UGUUAAAUUACAGCUGUGAAACGCACA